rnacentral:rRNA from 1 species
UACAGAGGUCUCAAGCGUUGUUCGGAUUCAUUGGGCGUAAAGGGUGCGUAGGCGGCGCGAGUAAGUCGGGUGUGAAAUCUCGGGCUUAACUCCGAAACUGCAUUCGAUACUGCCGUGCUUGAGGACUGGAGAGGAGACUGGAAUUUACGGUGUAGCGGUGAAAUGCGUAGAUAUCGUAAGGAAGACCAGUGGCGAAGGCGGGUCUCUGGACAGUUCCUGACGCUGAGGCACGAAGGCCAGGGGAGCAAACGGG